GUGAUGGGGAGAAGACAUUGUGUCUUCGAGUCGUUGAUUUCACACUGCCGAGAAAAGCCUCUAGAUAGAAAAUAGGUGCCCGUACCGCAAACCGACACAGGUAGUCAAGAUGAGAAUUCUAAGGUGAGCGAGCGAACUCUCGUUAAGGAACUCGGCAAAAUGACCCCGUAACUUCGGGAGAAGGGGUGCUCUUUAGGGUUAACGCCCAGAAGAGCCGCAGUGAAUAGGCCCAAGCGACUGUUUAUCAAAAACACAGGUCUCUGCUAAACCGUAAGGUGAUGUAUAGGGGCUGACGCCUGCCCGGUGCUGGAAGGUUAAGAGGAGUGGUUAGCUUCUGCGAAGCUACGAAUCGAAGCCCCAGUAAACGGCGGCCGUAACUAUAACGGUCCUAAGGUAGCGAAAUUCCUUGUCGGGUAAGUUCCGACCCGCACGAAAGGCGUAACGAUUUGGGCACUGUCUCAACGAGAGACUCGGUGAAAUCAUAGUACCUGUGAAGAUGCAGGUUACCCGCGACAGGACGGAAAGACCCCGUGGAGCUUUACUGUAGCCUGAUAUUGAAAUUCGGCACAGCUUGUACAGGAUAGGUAGGAGCCUUUGAAACGUGAGCGCUAGCUUACGUGGAGGCGCUGGUGGGAUACUACCCUAGCUGUGUUGGCUUUCUAACCCGCACCACUUAUCGUGGUGGGAGACAGUGUCAGGCGGGCAGUUUGACUGGGGCGGUCGCCUCCUAAAAGGUAACGGAGGCGCUCAAAGGUUCCCUCAGAAUGGUUGGAAAUCAUUCAUAGAGUGUAAAGGCAUAAGGGAGCUUGACUGCGAGACCUACAAGUCGAGCAGGGUCGAAAGACGGACUUAGUGAUCCGGUGGUUCCGCAUGGAAGGGCCAUCGCUCAACGGAUAAAAGCUACCCCGGGGAUAACAGGCUUAUCUCCCCCAAGAGUUCACAUCGACGGGGAGGUUUGGCACCUCGAUGUCGGCUCAUCGCAUCCUGGGGCUGUAGUCGGUCCCAAGGGUUGGGCUGUUCGCCCAUUAAAGCGGUACGCGAGCUGGGUUCAGAACGUCGUGAGACAGUUCGGUCCCUAUCCGUCGUGGGCGUAGGAAAUUUGAGAGGAGCUGUCCUUAGUACGAGAGGACCGGGAUGGACAUACCUCUGGUGUACCAGUUGUCGUGCCAACGGCAUAGCUGGGUAGCUAUGUGUGGACGGGAUAAGUGCUGAAAGCAUCUAAGCAUGAAGCCCCCCUCAAGAUGAGAUUUCCCAACUUCGGUUAUAAGAUCCCUCAAAGA
rnacentral:rRNA from 1 species